GUACUCACUUCCAUUUUCCGUUGUCAUAAUACAUGAAGCUUUACUUGAGAAUGCUCUGGACACCUGGCUGUGGAAGGAAGAAUGAAAAUUGCAAUAAAAAAAUCCUAAUUCUAAUAGAAUACUAAUAAUGCUCUAAUUAGACCAUAAUAAUGCUAAGAAAGCUUAAUCAAAUUCAAAAAAACCUCAAAGAAAUUUCAAACAAACAAUAAGAAUUCUUAAAGAAAUAUUAGAAGAAUCACAAAUAUCACUCAAAUAUAUCUCAAUUCAAUCUUAAUUUAAUUCUAGUUAAAAUCCUAUUGAACUUCAUUAAAACUUUAGGCCAAAACUAAUUAAAUCUUAAAUCCUAAUAAAAUCCUAAACCCUAAAUCAAACCCUAAAUAAACCUUAAAUCAAACCCCAAUCAAAUCCUAAACCAAAUCCUAACCAAAUUCUAAACCAAAUCCUAAACCCUAAAUAAAACCCUAACUAAAUUCUAAACAAAAUCCUAAACCAAACCCUAAUCCAAAUCCUAAUCAAACCUUAAACCAAAUCCUAAACCAAAUCCUAACCAAACCCUAACCAAACCCUAAAUCAAAUCCUAGUAAUUCCUACAACAGAUUUUAAACCUCAAUAACUAAUUAAUAAA
rnacentral:lncRNA from 1 species